GCUGUGCUUUCUUUUCCGCGCGGCCACCGAAGGAUGAGGGUGCGUGGAGCGCCGUCGGCCAGGCGGGCCGGGCGGCGGGCUUUGCGGGCCAGUCGCUGGGCUCUUCGAGGUGCAAUAGAGCCUAUGAGGUGAAGAUGAAUGAAGGUUGUCCUGAUGUUUUCCAGAAACUGCUCACAGGAUGGCUCUGAUAAAACCACUAGGAGCACAACUGCAUGUAAUGAGCAUAUAGGUAGCUGCAGAUGAAUAUUCAAGUGCAAAACUGUCGUGGUUAAAAUUCAUUGCCUCAAAGGCAUGCAAUUGGAAGGAAAAAAGAAUUGGCCAAGAAGACAUGAAACAGAUGAAGAUUAAUAUUUUAUUUAACAUUGAUCACCUCACAAUAAAUUAUGUAGA